rnacentral:rRNA from 1 species
UACGGAGGGUGCGAGCGUUGUCCGGAAUCACUGGGCGUAAAGGGCGCGUAGGCGGCUCAUGAAGGCUGUGGUGAAAGUCCGGGGCUCAACCUCGGAUCGGCCGUGGCGACUCGUGGGCUGGAGCACUGUAGAGGCGGGUGGAAUUCCGGGUGUAGCGGUGGAAUGCGCAGAUAUCAGGAGGAACACCAAUAGCGAAGGCAGCUCGCUGGGACGUACUGACACUGAGGCGCGAAAGCGUGGGGAGCGAACAGG